UGCAAGUCGAGCGGGUGUAGCAAUACAUCAAGCGGCAGACGGGUGAGUAACGCGUGGGAACGUACCUUUUGGUUCGGAACAACCAGGGAAACUUGUGCUAAUACCGGAUAAGCCCUUACGGGGAAAGAUUUAUCGCCGAAAGAUCGGCCCGCGUCUGAUUAGCUAGUUGGUGAGGUAACGGCUCACCAAGGCGACGAUCAGUAGCUGGUCUGAGAGGAUGAUCAGCCCAUUGGGACUGAGACACGGCCCAAACUCCUACGGGAGGCAGCAGUGGGGAAUAUUGGACAAUGGGCGCAAGCCUGAUCCAGCCAUGCCGCGUGAGUGAUGAAGGCCCUAGGGUUGUAAAGCUCUUUUGUGCGGGGAGAUAAUGACGGUACCCAGAAUAAGCCCCGGCUAACUUCGUGCCAGCAGCCGCGGUAAUACGAAGGGGGCUAGCGUUGCUCGGAAUCACUGGGCGUAAAGGGGCGUAGGCGGGUCUUAAGUCAGGGGUGAAAUCCUGGAGCUCAACUCCAGAACUGCCUUUGAUACUGAAGAUCUUGAUUCGGAGAGUGAUGGAACUGCAGUGAAGUGAAAUUCUAAAUUUCCAGAACACCAUGGCGAAGGUCCUGGCCCAUACUGCCUGAGCAAAGCGGGGACAAACAGGAUAAAUACCCUGGUAUCCCCCUAAACGAGAAUGCCACCUUAGUGGGUUUACCCUAUGGCCACUAACGCUUUACAUUCCCCUGGGGA
rnacentral:rRNA from 2 species